rnacentral:rRNA from 1 species
AUACGUAGGUGGCAAGCGUUACCCGGAUUUACUGGGUGUAAAGGGCGUGUAGGCGGGACUGCAAGUCAGAUGUGAAAUUCCAGGGCUCAACCCUGGAACUGCAUUUGAAACUGUAGUUCUUGAGUGAUGGAGAGGCAGGCGGAGAUUCCGGGGGUGCGGUGAGAAGCGUAGAUAUUCGGAGGAACACCAGUGGCGAAGGCGGCCUGCUGGACAUUAACUGACGCUGAGGCGCGAAAGCGUGGGGAGCAAACAGGAUUAGAUACCCUGGUAGUCCACGCUGUAAACGAUGGGUACUAGGUGUGGGGGGACUGACCCCUUCCGUGCCGCAGUUAACACAAUAAGUAUCCCACCUGGGGAGUACGAUCGCAAGGUUGAAACUCAAAUGAAUUGACGGGG